rnacentral:rRNA from 1 species
AGUGAACGCUGGCGGCAGGCCUAAUACAUGCAAGUCGAACGGCAGCACAGCAGAGCUUGCUCUGUGGGUGGCGAGUGGCGGACGGGUGAGGAAUACGUGGGAAUCUGCCCAGUCGUGGGGAUAACGUAGGGAAACUUACGCUAAUACCGCAUGCGCCCUUCGGGGAAAGCCGGGGACCUUCGGCCUGGCGCGAUUGGAUGAGCCCACGUCGGAUUAGCUAGUUGGCGGGGUAAAGGCCCACCAAGGCGACGAUCCGUAGCUGGUCUGAGAGGAUGAUCAGCCACACUGGAACUGAGACACGGUCCAGACUCCUACGGGAGGCAGCAGUAGGGAAUAUUGGACAAUGGGCGGCAAAGCCUGAUCCAGCCAUGCCGCGUGAGUGAAGAAGGCC